AUUGAACGCUGGCGGCAGGCUUAACACAUGCAAGUCGAGCGGGGGAGGUUACUUCGGUAACUGACCUAGCGGCGGACGGGUGAGUAAUGCUUAGGAAUCUGCCUAUUAGUGGGGGACAACAUUCCGAAAGGAAUGCUAAUACCGCAUACGCCCUACGGGGGAAAGCAGGGGAUCUUCGGACCUUGCGCUAAUAGAUGAGCCUAAGUCGGAUUAGCUAGUUGGUGGGGUAAAGGCCUACCAAGGCGACGAUCUGUAGCGGGUCUGAGAGGAUGAUCCGCCACACUGGGACUGAGACACGGCCCAGACUCCUACGGGAGGCAGCAGUGGGGAAUAUUGGACAAUGGGCGGAAGCCUGAUCCGGCCAUGCCGCGUGUGUGAAGAAGGCCUUUUGGUUGUAAAGCACUUUAAGCGAGGAGGAGGCUCCUUUAGUUAAUACCUAAAGUGAGUGGACGUUACUCGCAGAAUAAGCACCGGCUAACUCUGUGCCAGCAGCCGCCGCGGUAA
rnacentral:rRNA from 1 species